UACGUAGGUGGCAAGCGUUAUCCGGAAUUAUUGGGCGUAAAGCGCGCGUAGGUGGUUUCUUAAGUCUGAUGUGAAAGCCCACGGCUCAACCGUGGAGGGUCAUUGGAAACUGGGAGACUUGAGUGCAGAAGAGGAAAGUGGAAUUCCAUGUGUAGCGGUGAAAUGCGUAGAGAUAUGGAGGAACACCAGUGGCGAAGGCGACUUUCUGGUCUGUAACUGACACUGAGGCGCGAAAGCGUGGGGAGCAAACAGG
rnacentral:rRNA from 1 species